rnacentral:rRNA from 1 species
UACAGAGGUCUCAAGCGUUGUUCGGAUUCAUUGGGCGUAAAGGGCGCGUAGGCGGCGGGGUAAGUCGGGUGUGAAAUCUCAGGGCUCAACCCUGAAACUGCACUCGAUACUGCUCUACUUGAGGACUGGAGAGGAGACUGGAAUUCACGGUGUAGCAGUGAAAUGCGUAGAUAUCGUGAGGAAGACCAGUGGCGAAGGCGGGUCUCUGGACAGU